UCUAGAAGACAACUGGACUAGAAUACGAAAACGUUUUGGGGAUAAACACCUGAAACAGGUUUUUGGCAAAGAUCACGUGAUGACAAGUGCAAGGAUCCAGCUUGCAAAACCCACCAAUCAGCAAGCUGGAAGUAUCAUAAUUCGGGGUAUUAAGAUCGCUAUCCGACCGCUGGCUUUUGUUAGAAAGUGCAUUGGCAGAGAUACCCUGGCAGUUGGUAACAAAUGACCCCACCUUUUGUAUAUAAUCACAUACCAAUGCCCCUAAAAGUUAAGUCCUAAUCCAGACUUCAGUGUACAGUGCUCCUCCUUUGCUUAAAUAAAACAUACUCUUAAAUAAUGAACGUGUCACAUGUACAUAUCUAAUCUCAUUGGAGAUACAACAAGAAUGCGACUACUAAAUCAAUCAUGCACCACUCAUUUCUUGAGAGAGGACCGAAACUCUACCACAAACUGCCUCUCUCCCUGUGGGUCAUCUGUCCUAGAAAAAAAUCCCUUCUCAAAUUCAAAGAAGAUCUGGAUAACUUCCUCCGAACCUUUGCAGACCAACCCUCGAUACCUGGGUAUCAUUGAUCAACAAAAUCAACUCCAUUUCUGAUCAGAUUAACCUUCGAGCAAUUAUGUAACCACGUUUUUGUGCCUUGAAUCUAUCCAAAACAUCUGUCUGUGUAUAGCAAAUGAAUUAUUAUGAUAAUAGACAGUGUCAGUGUCUUUAGUCCCGUUUUCAAUUGAAAUUUCAUAAAAAUCCAUUCAGCUAACGUGAAAGAUGUUUGUGGCUUUGACAACCAACCUGAUCAAACAAAAUAUUUUUGCAUUUGCAGGCUGGCAUCAGCUUUUGAAGACAAGAUCAAUUCUACAAGAGAUGAGCGCUUCACAUUUUGGCGAAAAAAAAUUACAAAGACUUAUGAUUGCAAAGUCAAUCACCAUUGGCAGCCGUUCUAUGACCAGUGUGGCUUUUGCAACGUUUCCUUUGACGUGAUUGGAACCUUGGACGAAUUUCAAUCUGAUAUGAUUUAUAUACAAGAACGGCUUCACCGCCCUAAUAUUUUCAAUUUAACUAUUCGAGCCAAUUCCGCCCUUCAAACAUCACAAGAGAGCACAAUUCGCGAAAAAACUUUGGAGUAUUUUAAGGAAUUGAAGAAGGAGCAAAUCCGCCUUCUUCUGCAUCAUUAUCAAAUUGACUUUGAAUUAUUUGGAUAUGAAAGCGAUGAAUAUCAAAUAGAUAUGUAGUUGUAAAAUUA